rnacentral:lncRNA from 1 species
GGGUUUUGAGAUUAGUGGUAUUUGGGAUUAAAAGAUAUUUGAGAUUAAAGGGUAUUUGAGAUUAGGGAUAUAUAUAUUGGAUUAAGGGGUAUAUGGGAUUAAGGGGGUAUUUAAGAUUAAUGGGGUAUUUUUGGAUUAAAGGGUAUUUUGAGAUAAGGGGUAUUUGAGAUUAAAAACGGUAUUUGAGAAUAGAGGGUAUUUGAGAUUAGAAUAGGGGGUAUUUGAGAUUAGAGGGGUAUUUGAGGAUAGGGGGUAUUUGGGAAUUAGAGUAUUUGAGAUUAAAGGGUAUUUGAGAAUAGGGGCUUUUGAGAUUAAAGGGGUAUUUAAGAUUAAAUGGGUAUUUGAGAAUAUGAGUAUUUGAGAUUAAAGAGUAUUUGAGCAUAGGGGUAUUUGAGAAUAGGGGUAUUUGAGAUUAGGGGUAUUUGAGAAUAGGAGUAUUUGAGAUUAGAGGUAUUUGAGAUUAAAGGUAUUUGAAAUUAAAGGUAUUUGAGAUUAAAGGGAUAUUUGAGAAUAUGGGUAUUUGAGAAUAGGGGUAUUUGAGAAUAGGGGUAUUUGAGAUUAAAGGGG